CCCGCUGAACUUAAGCAUAUCAAUAAGCGCAGGAAAAGAAACCAACAGGGAUUGCCUCAGUAACGGCGAGUGAAGCGGCACCAGCUCAAAUUUGAAAUCUGGCCUCUCGGGGUCCGAGUUGUAAUUUGUAGAGGAUGUUUUGGGUACCGCCCCGGUCUAAAUUUCUUGGAACAGAAUGUCAGAGAGGGUGAGAAUCCCGUCUUGGACCGGCGGUAGGGCCUGUGUAAAACUCCUUCGACGAGUCGAGUUGUUUGGGAAUGCAGCUCAAAAUGGGUGGUAAAUUUCAUCUAAAGCUAAAUAUUGGCCAGAGACCGAUAGCGCACAAGUAGAGUGAUCGAAAGAUGAAAAGCACUUUGGAAAGAGAGUUAAACAGUACGUGAAAUUGUUGAAAGGGAAGCGCUUGCAACCAGACUUGCGGGCGGUCGAUCAUCCGAGGUUCUCCCCGGUGCACUCGAUCGUUCUCAGGCCAGCAUCGGUUUCCGGGGUGGGAUAAAGGCGGUGGGAAUGUGGCUCUUCGGAGUGUUAUAGCCCACCGUGCAAUGCCGCCACUGGGGACCGAGGACCGCGCUUCGGCUAGGAUGCUGGCGUAAUGGUUGUAAGCGACCCGUCUUGAAACACGG
rnacentral:rRNA from 1 species